CGGAGGCAGCAGUGGGGAAUUUUGGACAAUGGGGGCAACCCUGAUCCAGCCAUGCCGCGUGAGUGAAGAAGGCCUUCGGGUUGUAAAGCUCUUUCGCGAGGGAAGAAAGCGCAACGGUUAAUACCCGUUGUGGAUGACGGUACCUUGAUAAGAAGCACCGGCUAACUACGUGCCAGCAGCCGCGGUAAUACGUAGGGUGCGAGCGUUAAUCGGAAUUACUGGGCGUAAAGCGUGCGCAGGCGGUUUUUUAAGACAGGCGUGAAAUCCCCGGGCUUAACCUGGGAAUGGCGCUUGUGACUGGAAGGCUAGAGUAUGGCAGAGGGGGGUGGAAUUCCACGUGUAGCAGUGAAAUGCGUAGAGAUGUGGAGGAACACCGAUGGCGAAGGCAGCCCCCUGGGCCAAUACUGACGCUCAUGCACGAAAGCGUGGGGAGCAAACAGGAUUAGAUACCCCCGUAGUCC
rnacentral:rRNA from 1 species